rnacentral:rRNA from 1 species
AAUAGAUACCCGGGUAGUCCACGCCCUAAACGAUGUCUACUAGUUGUCGGGUCUUAAUUGACUUGGUAACGCAGCUAACGCGUGAAGUAGACCGCCUGGGGAGUACGGUCGCAAGAUUAAAACUCAAAGGAAUUGACGGGGACCCGCACAAGCGGUGGAUGAUGUGGAUUAAUUCGAUGCAACGCGAAAAACCUUACCUACCCUUGACAUGUCAGGAACCUCCGAGAGAUUGGAGGGUGCCCGAAAGGGAACCUGAACACAGGUGCUGCAUGGCUGUCGUCAGCUCGUGUCGUGAGAUGUUGGGUUAAGUCCCGCAACGAGCGCAACCCUUGUCAUUAGUUGCUACGCAAGAGCACUCUAAUGAGACUGCCGGUGACAAACCGGAGGAAGUGGGGAUGACGUCAAGUCCUCAUGGCCCUUAUGGGUAGGGCUUCACACGUCAUACAAUGGUACAUACAGAGGGCCGCAACCCGGCGAGGGGGAGCUAAUCCCAGAAAGUGUAUCGUAGUCCGGAUCGCAGUCUGCAA